rnacentral:rRNA from 1 species
UACGUAGGGUGCGAGCGUUGUCCGGAAUUACUGGGCGUAAAGAGCUCGUAGGUGGUUUGUCGCGUUGUCCGUGAAAACUCACAGCUUAACUGUGGGCGUGCGGGCGAUACGGGCAGACUGGAGUACUGCAGGGGAGACUGGAAUUCCUGGUGUAGCGGUGGAAUGCGCAGAUAUCAGGAGGAACACCGGUGGCGAAGGCGGGUCUCUGGGCAGUAACUGACGCUGGAGGUGCGAAAGCGUAGGGGAGCAAACAGG